ACGCAAGUGUGAAACUUGAAGGAAUUGACGGAAGGGCACCACAAGAACGCGUGGAGCAUGUGGCUUAAUUUGACUCAACGCGGGAAAUCUUACCGGGUCCGGACACACUGAGGAUUGACAGGCAAUAUCUCAUGUUUGUUUAAUAACCGUUAUUAACGUAUCGCGUUAUUUAAUACAUCGAGUGUUAAAUAUGCUAGUCCUUUCAUGAUUAUGUGAUAGGUGGUGCAUGGCCGUUCUUAGUUCGUGGAGUGAUCUGUCUGCUUAAUUGCGUUUCACUAAGGGCCCAUAAAUUCAAGGUAUGUUAGCUAUCGUCGCUCUAUGGACCCCUUAACCGAGUUAAAUCGAGUUAAGCGCGCGUCUUUAUUUAAAGAGUUUAAGACAAUGCGCAUGCUGUUGGGCUCUGAAAGCAACGAACGUGACCG
rnacentral:rRNA from 1 species